rnacentral:rRNA from 1 species
AUGCACGCUGGCGGCGUGCCUCAUACAUGCCAGUCGCGCGAACAGACGAGGAGCUUGCUCCUCUGACGUUAGCGGCGGACGGGUGAGUAACACGUGGAUAACCUACCUAUAAGACUGGGAUAACUUCGGGAAACCGGAGCUAAUACUGGAUAAUAUAUUGAACCGCAUGGUUCAAUAGUGAAAGACGGUUUUGCUGUCACUUAUAGAUGGAUCCGCGCCGCAUUAGCUAGUUGGUAAGGUAACGGCUUACCAAGGCAACGAUGCGUAGCCGACCUGAGAGGGUGAUCGGCCACACUGGAACUGAGACACGGUCCAGACUCCUACGGGAGGCAGCAGUAGGGAAUCUUCCGCAAUGGGCGAAAGCCUGACGGAGCAACGCCGCGUGAGUGAUGAAGGUCUUCGGAUCGUAAAACUCUGUUAUUAGGGAAGAACAAAUGUGUAAGUAACUAUGCACGUCUUGACGGUACCUAAUCAGAAAGCCACGGCUAACUACGUG